CACGUAGUUAGCCGUGGCUUUCUGGUUAGAUACCGUCGAAACGUGAACAGUUACUCUCACGCACUUUCUUCUCUAACAACAGGGUUUUACGAUCCGAAGACCUUCUUCACCCACGCGGCGUUGCUCCAUCAGGCUUUCGCCCAUUGUGGAAGAUUCCCUACUGCUGCCUCCCGUAGGAGUUUGGGCCGUGUCUCAGUCCCAAUGUGGCCGAUCAACCUCUCAGUUCGGCUACGCAUCAUUGCCUUGGUAAGCCUUUACCCCACCAACUAGCUAAUGCGCCGCGGGCCCAUCCAAAAGCGGUAGCAUAGCCACCUUUUACAUAGUUACCAUGCGGUAACUAUGGUUAUGCGGUAUUAGCACCUGUUUCCAAGUGUUAUCCCCCUCUUUUGGGCAGGUUGCCCACGUGUUACUCACCCGUUCGCCACUCAACUCUUUAUCGGUGAGUGCAAGCACUCGGUGAUAAAGAAGUUUCGUUCGACUUGCAUGUAUUAGGCACGCCGCCAGCGUUCAU
rnacentral:rRNA from 1 species